UUUAGCCUACGGGGGGCAGCAGUGAGGAAUAUUGGUCAAUGGACGAGAGUCUGAACCAGCCAAGUAGCGUGAAGGAUGACUGCCCUAUGGGUUGUAAACUUCUUUUAUAAAGGAAUAAAACGAGGCACGUGUGCCUUUUUGUAUGUACUUUAUGAAUAAGGAUCGGCUAACUCCGUGCCAGCAGCCGCGGUAAUACGGAGGAUCCGAGCGUUAUCCGGAUUUAUUGGGUUUAAAGGGAGCGUAGAUGGGUUGUUACGUCAGUUGUGAAA
rnacentral:rRNA from 1 species